GGUGCUGCCGGGAAGGGAAGGGACUCCUGAGCUCCUGCACAUGCACAGAGCUGCACUGUUUCCCCCUCUCCCCGAUCUCUGAAGUGGCCCCUGUUCUAGGAAGGUGACCAAGCAAGUGAAGCCACCACUUUUCCAAAAGCUUCGAUAUUGGAACCCAGGCCUCCUGAGCAUGGAUGCGGGCAGCGAAGUAGAACCUGGAGAAAGACUUGUCACCUCCCACCGGAUCCAGAGCCACCACAGCCAUCCAGAGCAGCUGUGAGUCUGGCAUGUGCCAGUGCUUCUUCAGUGAGUGGUCACUUGGCCACAAGGCACUUCCUGCAGGGUGUAGGCCCUGCCACAGGACUCAGGGAAUUCCUUGGGCAAAGGUACUCAGGGGUGACGACAGCAGCUGUAGCUGCAGGACGGGCCUUUGGCACAUGGAUCAAACUUUCCAUUUUCAUUUGUCUCUGUCUUGGAUGGGACAAUAGUAACUGAUUGUUUUGGCCUCGGUAAGAACAUACCCCCGGGAAUCAUCUGAGAAGGAAGGAUGAAUUGCUCAUGAUGGAUGACAUGAGAGUUUAAAGUCAUUUGUUUGGCUUUUCAGUGAAAUGUAACUUGAUAUUUACCUCAACUGUAUGAAACAAAACAGAAUUUAGUGUGUGAGUGUGUGUGUGUGCGUGUGUGUGUGUGUGUGCUUUUCUAUACUGCUGUGGCCAUCAGUGAUCAAUACAGCCUGUCCUCUGCCCCUGCUGGACUCUGGCCUGUGGGUCUAUAUCUUAGGUGGUCCUAAUUUGUAUCCUUGUCCUAUAAUAAAUGUGACCAUGAAUACAA